rnacentral:pre_miRNA from 1 species
UGCAGCAAUCUAGGCAGCGUUCUCGUUUGCUUUGUAGAAGAAAACACGACCCUGAUUGCUGUAGU